rnacentral:hammerhead_ribozyme from 1 species
ACCCAGCUGACAAGUCCCAAAUAAGACUAAACGUGCUUCCUGGAU